AAGUCGUAACAAGGUUUCCGUAGGUGAACCUGCGGAAGGAUCAUUACCUAGAGUUGUAGGCUUUGCCUGCUAUCUCUUACCCAUGUCUUUUGAGUACCUUCGUUUCCUCGGCGGGUUCGCCCGCCGAUUGGACAAUUUAAACCAUUUGCAGUUGCAAUCAGCGUCUGAAAAAAACUUAAUAGUUACAACUUUCAACAACGGAUCUCUUGGUUCUG
rnacentral:misc_RNA from 1 species